rnacentral:rRNA from 1 species
AUUGAACGCUGGCGGCAUGCCUUACACAUGCAAGUCGAACGGUAACAGGUCUUCGGAUGCUGACGAGUGGCGAACGGGUGAGUAAUACAUCGGAACGUGCCUAGUAGUGGGGGAUAACUACUCGAAAGAGUGGCUAAUACCGCAUGAGAUCUACGGAUGGAAGCAGGGGAUCGCAAGACCUUGUGCUACUAGAGCGGCCGAUGGCAGAUUAGGUAGUUGGUGGGAUAAAAGCUUACCAAGCCGACGAUCUGUAGCUGGUCUGAGAGGACGAUCAGCCACACUGGACUGAGACACGGCACAGACUCCUACGGGAGGCAGCAGUGGGGAAUUUUGGACAAUGGGCGCAAGCCUGAUCCAGCAAUGCCGCGUGCAGGAUGAAGGCCUUCGGGUUGUAAACUGCUUUUGUACGGAACGAAAAGCCCUGGGUUAAUACCCUGGGGUCAUGACGGUACCGUAAGAAUAAGCACCGGCUAACUACGUGCCAGCCGCCGCGGUAAUAC